AAAAGGGGAAUUUUGGGUGAGAAAAAUUGGAAUUUUGGGGGGAAAAGUUGAAUUUUAGGGUGGAAAAUUGGAAUUUUGGGCGAGAAAAGUUGGAAUUUUGGGGGGAAAAGUUGGAAUUUUGGGGGGAAAAGUUGGAAUUUUGGGGGAAAAAGGGGGAAUUUUGGGCGAGAAAAGUUGGAAUUUUGGGGAGAAAAGUGGAAUUUUGGGGUAAAAAGGGGGAAUUUGGGGAAAAAAGGGGGAAUUUUGGGGGAAAAGUUGGAAUUUUGGGAUGAAAAAGUUGGAAUUUUGGGAAAAAAGGGGGAAUUUGGGGGGAAAGUGGAAUUUUGAGAGGGGAAAAUUGGAAUUUGAGGGUUUUUUCCCCCAAAUUCCCACCCCCAGCCCAUUCCAGGUGUUGCUCCAGGUGUUUUCCGGCUUUUUUUGGGGUUGGGGGCUCCCAAAAUCCACGGGAAAAACCCAAAAUUCACUAAAAACACCCCAAAAAUUAAGGAAAAACCCCCAAAAUCCAAAGGAAAUCCCCAAAAAUUCCCUAAAAACACCAAAAAUUUAAGGAAAAACUCCCAAAAGCUUAAAUAAGAUCCCAAAAAUCCACUAAAAACACCCAAAAUCCAGAGGAAAUUCCCAAAAAAUCACUAAACCCACCCAAAAUUUAAGGAAAAAUCCCCCAAAUCCACAAAAAACUCCCCAAAAAAUCAUAAAAAAUACCCAAAAUUAUCCAAAACACCCAUUUUUUAACCUGGAAUAAUCCCCAAAAUCCCAUUUUUUUCCCUCAUUUUUCCAACCCCCACUACCAGGACUGGAAUUUGAGGAAAAAACCCCAGAAUUUAAGGAAAUCCCUCAAAAUUCAGAGGAAAUUCCCAAAAAAUUCACUAAAAAACCCCAAAAUUUAAGGGAAAACUCCCAAAAAUUUAAAUAACAUCCAAAAAAUUCACUAAAAACCCCCAAAAUUUAAGGAAAAACUCCCAAAAACUUAAAUAACAUCCCAAAAAUUCACUAAAAACCCCCAAAAUUUAAGGAUAAAUCCCAAAAUCCAGAGGAAAUUCCCAAAAAAUUACUAAAAACCCCAAAAUUUAAGGAAAACCCCCCAAAAUCCAGAAGAAAAUUCCCAAAAAUUCACUAAAAACCCCCAAAAUCCAAAGGAAAUUCCCAAAAACUCACUAAAAACUCCCAAAAUUUAAGGAAAACCCCCCAAAAUCCAAAAUAAAUUCCCAAAAAAUCACUAAAAACCCCCA
rnacentral:lncRNA from 1 species